rnacentral:lncRNA from 1 species
UGCUUCUACUAUGACCCUCUAACAACCCUCUUUUUUAUUUUAUUACUUUCUCUAUAUAUUUUGUUGAACUGAUAACAUGCACCAUGGCGCGUCACUGCAGAAGAGAAAGUAACAGAAUAGCUCGGAUGAGCCCAGAUUUUGUGCUUUGGAAAACUGAACAUGAUAUCUCUCUUUCCAGGCUCUGUCUAGUGGCAGAGAAGUCUUGACAGUCUUUAAAAUGUGUCUGAGUGAUGGCUCCUGUUCAAUGAAAAAUCCAAGGGCUCCUUUGCAAAAGAGAACAUACGAAUGGCAGUUGAGACGGGUGAGGGGAAGAGCACGGCUCCCUGGAGAACACAGCUUUUCCUGACUGUCAGGUCUAUGAGGACCUUUCUCUUGGGUAUCUUUCUGAAGAAAGCAGUGUGAGAGUUAUUGGGCCAUAAUCUUCACAAAAUCCUCCCCCAAAAAUCCAAAAGAGGUUCUGUGCCCCUUCUGUGCCCUUGUUGCAAAUGAAG